AGAUGUGGCCGCCUACUGGGCAGCACGUGUUGGUUGUGUGGUGGGCGCCGUUGGUUUAGUAACAUUUGGACUCGUUCAUCUGGCUCGAACCAGAGGCUGGUUUUUAAAAGAUGGAAGUACCACAGAUUUAAAACGGUCGAAUGAAAGACAUGCACAAAUGACGCUAACCAAAUCUGUGAAAGACUUGCAUCUCGAGGAAUAGUGAGACAGGUCUUGCACUUGACGGAGACAGUUAAAGAAGCCAUGGUAUUUAUGUUCGAGACAUGGAGCUCCAGACUGAAUUCUGGCGUGUGUUACAGCGUCUUUGCUGACGUAAUACUUUUAGCAAAGAGUAUGCGAUAUAGACAGAACAUCUACAUACACAAUCACUCACAGAUAGUCACGCUAUCUUGUGAAUUGACAAGUGACUGUACAUAACCUCGUUUUUUAUGACGUAUCUAUGCAAAU